UACAACAGGUGUAGUAGACCUAACAGUGAAAUGCUGAAUACAACAGGUGUAGUAGACCUCACAGUGAAAUGCUGAAUACAACAGGUGUAGUAGACCUUACAAUGAAAUGCUGAAUACAACAGGUGUAGUAGACCUAACAGUGAAAUGCUGAAUACAACAGGUGUAGUAGACCUCACAGUGAAAUGCUGAAUACAACAGGUGUAGUAGACCUCACAGUGAAAUGCUGAAUACAACAGGUGUAGUAGACCUCACAGUGAAAUGCUGUAUACAACAGGUGUAGUAGACCUUACAAUGAAAUGCUGAAUACAACAGGUGUAGUAGACCUAACAGUGAAAUGCUGAAUACAACAGGUGUAGUAGACCUCACAGUGAAAUGCUGAAUACAACAGGUGUAGUAGACCUUACAGUGAAAUGCUGAAUACAACAGGUGUAGUAGACCUUACAGUGAAAUGCUGAAUACAACAGGUGUAGUAGACCUCACAGUGAAAUGCUGA